AAUCACCGAGCAUAUACCCCAAACUGACAUAACAUUGUGUAUGUACUAUACUUAAACAAAAAGAAAAAAAGAUCAUCUUCUUUACUUCACUUUUAAAAAAAACAACAACAAAGAGACCAGAGUUCAAAAGGAACUCGAGCCAGGGACAUUAGAUAUACCCAUCAGUCCCCAGGAAAAUAUGCCCCUUUUAAAGGUCUGCAAGCCUUAAAAUACAAAAGGAAAUUUAAAAAAGAUGGACAACUUUGUUAAUCGUGGAAAGGGAAAUUGCCUGCACUUGUGGUAACCUGUGAAAGUAGCAAAGUUCAGAGACUAUUCACAUCACUCUUCAGCCAGUGCCCCUGGGUAGAUGGGUGAAGCUUUGCCUCCCGGUGCAGAGUGAGGCCCGAUUUGGGGCAAGUUCUUCCUUGAUGGACAUGAGGAAGGUAGGUGUCCUCAGUCCCAGUCCUAACUUAGUGUGGCCUUGAGGAAAUAACUUGCUUUCUCUGGCCUCAGUGUUUUCAUCUAUGAAAUGAGAGAGUUGAAUCAAUGCAGAGUCUCAGCAAUGUCAUCUAGUCUCCAAAUCCUGUGAUUCUGUAGGUAGAACCAGCCCUCCUUAACCCACCUCCAAUGCUCACCACGGUUCCUGGCACACAGCAAGCGUCCCAUUCAUGUUUGUUGAAUGGAUGGAUGGAAGAAUAAAGCAGAGUUCCUUACUGGUAAAAAUGCAGAUUGCCUAAAGGUCACCAGAGAAUGGCCCUACCCUGAUGAGGGACAGAGAGUGCUGUGAUUUGGGACUUCCAUGAACACUCAAGACCACCCCCCUUGGUCACUAAAUGCCAGAUCUCAUUGAUGGUGCAGAAUUCCUUGGGAUAUGAAUGAAACCAGCCCUUCUAAAAUAAAGUCAAACCUGCAGUCAGUCACAGAUUUUGGCAGCCCAAAUUUCCUCCUUUUCUACUGUUUUGUGCUGAUAAUGUAUCAACAUUCCUUAAUCCCAUCCAAGCUGAAAUGUGCUUUGCCCUCAUUGAGCUUAAGGUAUAAUCUCCAAAUG